GUCUACAGCCAUACCUCCCCGAACACGCCUGAUCUUGUCUGAUCCCGGAAGCUGAGCAGGGUCGGGCCUGGUUAGUACUUGGUUGGGAGACUGAUUGAACUUACUGGGUAGACA
rnacentral:rRNA from 1 species